UUACUGGAGGAGGGUGGGGAUGACGUCAAAUCAUCAUGCCCCUUAUGACCUGGGCUACACACGUGCUAAAUGGGAAGUACUACGAGUCGCUAGACCGCGAGGUCAUGCAAAUCUCUUAAAGCUUCUGUCAGUUCGGAUGCAGGCUGCAACUCGCCUGCAUGGAAGCCGGAAUCGCUAGUAAUCGCGGAUCAGCACGCCGCGGUGAAUCGUUCCCGGGCCUUGUACACACCGCCCGUCACACCACGAGAGUUUGUAACACCCGAAGUCGGUGAGGUACCUUUUUGGAGCCAGCCGCCUGGUGGGAUAGAUGAU
rnacentral:rRNA from 1 species